UUAGUAUAAAUAUAGUUGCAUAAAACGCAACACGCUCAUUGCAAAAUACUAUAGCUGUUUGUAAAUAGAAUUAACAAUGUUGACACAAUUAAUUUUGAUUUUCUGUGUCGCCGGGCUGAUUGCCUCGGCUCCGUAUUCGCAAAUCAAUUUGUCAGAUUUGGCGGCACAGUUCGGUUUACACGAGAACCACCUUGACAAUGUACCAUUCGAUGAGACAUCGUUUUGGGUGCUUUUCAAUAUUUUGUAUUCAUUAGUCAACGAAUAUCCAAUGAGGCCAGAGCAUCCAUAAAAAAAUAUUUAACGCUUUUCUUAUCCUAUUAUUGUCAAUAUAUCGGGUUCUAAGCAACCUAUCGCAAUGAAACCCAUACCAUUUUUUUAAGCUAUACUUAUAACUAUAAUAACCGCACCAAAUUCCAUCCAAAAGUUUUUGAGUGAUCUGUUAAAAAACACACAGACAGACAUACAAAAAUAUAAAAAAAUGUUUUGUCUUCUAUUAGUCCCAUAAAGACCCGCGGUAGACAUUUUUCUAUGUACAGACAGAGCCCACUUGAGGUUGUGUGACACUUAAAUGUGACCGUGCCAAAGUUAAAAAAAAAAAACUAAAGUAAAGAUUACACAAAUGACAGACAACCAAUCCAGACAUAUAUCAUAUAAAGCAUAGUGAAUAAUUUAAAAAUAGCAGUGAUUCAAAAUAUGUAAACCACGCACGUAUGUUUAACAAAUAAAAUUGGAUUUCUCACAUAUUCGAAUCAAGUUUCGCGUGAACGUUAGUAAAACGAAAAUUAAAACAAUUUUGGAAAAUCUUUUAUUUUAUUUUCCCAUUAUAUUAUAAAAGGUCUAAUUAUAUGCAUAUAUGUAUAUUAUGUUUAUUUUGCAUGUGAUUUUAUAAACCCUAUCCCUAACCCCCCUAAAAAAGGACGGUUUGCACUCAGGGAGUGCUGGCAGAAGUGAAAAUUGAAUAUUAACAUUAUGCAUUUUCGAUGUCUUACGACAUAGGUCAUGUGAUGCGAGUUUAACAUUUUUUCGUAGAUUUAGUAACGGAGUACCUACUAAUUCCAUGCAUUUUAUAGCCAUCACAAAAAGUCCACACCGCUAAUAAAGAAUUUUUAUAAAAAAAAAAUUGUUAAGAAACCUUAAAAACAGUGACAACUGUACCUGUGAUAAAGAAGUGUACUUAAGCAGAACGUUCUUUACACAUGACGUACUUCAGAAAACAUUUGAGAAAUCACACACAAUAUGUUCAGAUAUUUGUUUGUGUUUUUGGUGAUCACUAUGGCAGCGUCGCAGCCGUUGCCAGAAUUAAAUCUGAUAGAGUUGGCCAAGAGUUUUGGCAUGCCAAAGUCUGACCAAAUGCCCAUCAUAAAGAACAAUGUUGACACAUUGUUGGAAUUCUUCAAUAUAUUCUCAACCUUCGGAAAGCUUGGUUUAUAGUUUGUUUUUUACCAAUGGAAGUUUACUGAAAUAUCUUUACGUUAUUAGAUAGUGGUAGUAUAUUAAGUGUCGAGCCUGUCAAUUAGCACGGUUUUAAUGUAAUAAAACAAAUUACAACAAAUAUAAAAAUGUUUAUUAACCAUAUAUAAUUAAAAUAAAUAGUUUACAAUGGUUGCAAAUUUACAAUACUUUCAGUCAUGCCAAUUACUGGCAACCCGUUGAAUAAUGGCAGUUUACCAAGUUGUCCAAGUUGUAACCCAUUCAAGGACAGAACUGGCGUGCUUGGCAACGAAUUGGCAAUAUUGUCGUCUAAUAAGUACAAAGCGUUUUUGCAUUCACAAUUAUUACCGAUUGAUGGGUUUGUCAAUUGAUAAUUCGGGUUGCCAAUACUUGGCUGUGCCAAUUGUAUUGGCAGAGUUUGGUCAACAUUUGACACUAAAUUCUUUGACAAGUUUGGGACGUUAGCAAUUGAAUCAUAUAUAUUAUUGACUGGUAUUCUAUUAAUAUUUUGUACGUUAUUUGAUAAUGCUAAAUUUGGUAAUGGUAAAUUAUUAAAAUAUGCCGAAUUUGGAGGUAAAUUAUUAACAUUGGUCAAAUAAUUUGUAUUAGCCGCGUUUGCUAAAUUAUAAUUUACAGGUAAAUUAUUUGGCUCGUAAUUUACUGGCACGCUGGAAAUUUGUAAAUUAUUCAAAUUUGGAAUGUUUUGUUGAAGUAAAUUAUUACCAUGAGCUGCAUUACUAUUUAAUUGAGCAUUAUUUGACAAUUGAAUUUGUAAAUUAUUAGGAAUUUGGACAUUCGCUGUUGCUGAGGGAAUUAAAUUAUUGGCUUGUAAAUUAUUAAAUCCAGAUAAAUUUGGAUUUACCAAAUUAUUUGCUUGAGGAAUAUUUGCUGAUACAUAAUUAUUUAAUAAAUUAUACAAGUUAUUUUGUGAUUGCAAAUUGUUUGCCACUGGUAAAUUGCUUAUUUGGUAACUGUUACUAAUCGGCAAAUUACUUACUGGUAAGUUAUUUAGUGGUAAAUUGUUGUUGACAUUGCUUCGAGGUAAAUUAUUUAAAGGUAAAUUACUUAUUGGCAAAUUAUUUAUUGGUAAUUUACCAGUAACACUUCGGUAAUUAUUUUGUGAUUGAAUAUUAUUUGGUAAAUUCGGUUGCUGAUUUCUACAAUUACAUUUUGGCAAUGGUAAACUUUGCUGUGAUUGUAUGAAUGUCAAUCUAUUUGACAAACCAUUGGCUAAUUGUAAAUUAUUCGUCCCAAUAGUUGAAAUUGGUAAAUUUUGUAAAAAGUUUGGCGUUUGUUUUAUUGGAAGAUUCGAUGUUGCUAGACGACUGAUUGCGUUAUUUAAAGGCACACCGUUAUUUAACUGACGUUGGUUAACCACAAUGUUGUUUCCUGGUAAAUUUUGUUGGUAAACUAGUCUAUUUAGCAGAGAUGGAUUGAUUUGAGCGAGCCCGACCUGAAAAAUUGAUGAUAUAUUAAUUAAUUUAUGAAUAUAAAUUAUAAUUAUAAGCAAACUCUACUAAAAUCAUUGAGGUGACAUGUGACCAAAAGGCUGGCAUAUAUCUAGGCCAGAGAUUAAGCAUUGCCAUUCAACUUGGCAAUGCUGUCAGCCUUCUGCACGCUGCCUCAAGGUAACGAAUUGCAGGGACUGGCAUUUUUGUAAAUCUAUUUAAAUAAUUUUUAAGUAACCCUCUUUUUCUUGUUAAUAGUUUAUUUUAGUUGUAGUAACUAUGAUGUGAAAAAUAUUAUAUUAAGAUUAAUAAAGAAAAUAAUUAUAAAAUCUUAUUCUCAUUCAAAUUCAUACAGGGAGAGAGAGAGUGAGAGAGAGUGAGAGAGAGUGUGUUUAGUAACAAAGAUAGGUUAAAAAUUUAUUCCCAAAGAGACCGGUGCAAAUCGAACGUUUUGCGCAAGAUGUUUCAUGAAUAUUAGCAUGAUUGGGGACAAGUUUGGUCCUAGAAUCUGUCAAACUAUUUUUGCAUAAUCGAAACGGU